AGAGGAGGCUCACUUCCACCCAAGUUCAGUUCUUAGAGAAGAGCUUUAAAAUUGAGAACAAGCUUGAACCUGAGAGAAAAAUUCAGCUUACUAAGGAUCUUGGAUUGCAACAAGACAGGUUGCUAUUUGGUUUCAGAAUCGGAGAGCAAGGUGGAAGACGAAGCAAAUUGAGAAGGAUUAUGAGGUAUUGAAGAAGAGCUUUGAUGUUCUUAAGGAGGGUUAUGAUAAUCUUCUUAAGGAGAAGGAGAAGCUUAAAGCAGAGACAUUUCUCGCCGAAUUGAUCAAGUUGAAGAUAAACUAGAUGUGCAUGUUUGUGUACAAUUGUUAAUCUAGAGCAUUUGAGUGUCAUGUUUACAAUGCAUGUUGUACUCAAUUUGAUAUUCAUAAGUUUAUCAUCUUGGUAUAUUAUGAGAAUAUUCAAUUAAGUCAUCCUUUA